rnacentral:lncRNA from 1 species
AAGAAAUGUUUUGGAAAAAGGUGGAAGUAGGUAGAGGGAUGUGCUCUGAACCAGUGUGACCAAAAGACAGUAUGUUCACGGGGCAUUCAUCUGAUUCAAUUCCUGCCAAAGGCUUUUGUUAUUUGAGAACAUUAUGACUAAACCAACAGAAAGGAAGGACAUUCUGAAUAUGGGUGAGAGACUGCGCCUUGGACAAUCACUGUGAGUCCCGACCCUUACCAGAAAAGUCACUUGCAGCGUCGUUUCCAGGCAUAGGUUAGGAUCACCAUGCUCUCUCACGGGCUGUAUGUUGCAACCCUGAUAUGAAAACGUCUUCUAUCUCCUUCAACUGUGGCAGGAGCACAGGUGAAAGAGGGGAGCCGAGCCUGGGGGUAGCCUGUAUGCGUGGGUUAUGGCCCUAUUUACAGAUCAGUCAUGAUAGCUCUGCAGAUUUGCUGGGGCUCUGUGGAGCAGUGGAGGCGAGGACAGAGGUGGCCCUGCUCUGGGAGGUCCCUUCCUAACUGAGGCUCCCCGACGGCUUCCUGCACAGGAGUGGCCCGACGCCGGCGGGACAAGCAAGGAGCCCAGAUCAGCCUCGGAAAGCUCGGGCUCAAACCAGAGCUCAAUUUGGAAAUUAAAAAACAAACCUUGA